GCCCGGCUCCUGAAGACCCUGCGGCGGUCCCCGGCGGAGCUCUCCAGACUUCCCCGAGCUGGACGAGUUGCAGGACAGACGUGCUUACGUCCACCGCCCGCCUCUGCUGCCGACUGGCAGACGGAGCGUAGGGCUGUCGGCGUCAUUUCCGGGAGUCAUCUGAGGGCAGGGAACCCUACGGUGAUAACUGAAGGGGGUUUCAUUUUGACUUAUUUUUGUAAAAAGGGGAUUGGUCGGGGAGUGUGUCGUGAGAACAUACACCUGCUCCCACACCCCCCGCCCCAAAACCCUUUCCUUUAAUCGUGUUUGCGCCAAAGCCCCGUGCCAGACUUUCGCUGUCGCUGAGUGUCAAAUGCAAAACUACUGAAGGCUUCAAAAGGGUUUUGCUCUUACAAGAAAGGAAACAAUAGGAGAACGGCAGCAUUCACUAGAGAGAGAGAGCCUCCAGAGGUUUGUUAAUUACAGGCAAGUUUCUCCAGCCCACUAUGGACUGCCAUGGAGGAUUCUGCUGAGGGUUUCUGUCCUGAUAAAUAAGACCUCCUUCUGAGGUGUCCUGAAGGGAAGAAGAAAAAGAAGGUGAGACAGAAGAGAGGGAAAUGGACGAACACAGGACGAGGAAAGUAGAAGAAUAAAGGACAUUAUAUUCAAAUUAUGAUUUGAAAGGAUCUAGAAAAUAUCGUUUUCCUUCUUUUUCAUUUUCCCCGUGCCUUUGCCAAGGAAUCUUUCAAGGAGGCAAUUUCAUAAUCCCUGGAAUAUAUUCUGGAAGUUUCCUCUUGCCUUAAAAUGUAGA